GUCCUUUAAGGAAUUUAGAGUAUUUGUGUCAUGUGAUGAUGUCAUUUCCUAUUAAGUCACUUCCUGUUUGUCCUUCCUGGUACUGCAUGGAAACAAGGAGACAGACAUGGUGUGCUCUUGGUGUUGAAUCCACUUGCAUCCAACUUAAAGCAUCAUAGAGGCAAUGCUUUUUCACCUACAUGUAAAUGAGGAAGUGUGACAGUAAAUUAUCAACCUUA